rnacentral:rRNA from 1 species
UACGGAGGGGACUAGCGUUGUUCGGAAUUACUGGGCGUAAAGCGCACGUAGGCGGAUUUGUAAGUCAGGGGUGAAAUCCCGGGGCUCAACCUCGGAACUGCCUUUGAUACUGCAAAUCUCGAGUCCGGAAGAGGUGAGUGGAAUUCCUAGUGUAGAGGUGAAAUUCGUAGAUAUCAGGAAGAACACCAGUGGCGAAGGCGGCUCACUGGUCCGGUACUGACGCUGAGGUGCGAAAGCGUGGGGAGCAAACAGG